rnacentral:rRNA from 1 species
GAUGAACGCUGGCGGCGUGCCUAAUACAUGCAAGUCGAGCGAACAGACGAGGAGCUUGCUCCUCUGACGUUAGCGGCGGACGGGUGAGUAACACGUGGAUAACCUACCUAUAAGACUGGGAUAACUUCGGGAAACCGGAGCUAAUACCGGAUAAUAUAUUGAACCGCAUGGUUCAAUAGUGAAAGACGGUUUUGCUGUCACUUAUCGAUGGAUCCGCGCCGCAUUAGCUAGUUGGUAAGGUAACGGCUUACCAAGGCAACGAUGCGUAGCCGACCUGAGAGGGUGAUCGGCCACACUGGAGCUGAGACACGGUCCAGACUCCUACGGGAGGCAGCAGUAGGGAAUCUUCCGCAGUGGUCGAAAGCCUGACGGAGCAACGCCGCGUGAGUGAUGAAGGUCUUCGGAUCGUAAAACUCUGUUAUUAGGGAAGAACAAAUGUGUAAGUAACUAUGCACGUCUUGACGGUACCUAAUCAGAAAGCCACGGCUAACUACGUG